rnacentral:rRNA from 1 species
UAGGGAAUCUUCGGCAAUGGGGGGAACCCUGACCGAGCAACGCCGCGUGAGUGAAGAAGGUUUUCGGAUCGUAAAACUCUGUUGUUAGAGAAGAACAGCGCAUAGAGUAACUGUUAUGCGUGUGACGGUAUCUAACCAGAAAGCCACGGCUAACUACGUGCCAGCAGCCGCGGUAAUACGUAGGUGGCAAGCGUUGUCCGGAUUUAUUGGGCGUAAAGCGAGCGCAGGCGGUCAAUUAAGUCUGAUGUGAAAGCCCCCGGCUCAACCGGGGAGGGUCAUUGGAAACUGGUUGACUUGAGUGCAGAAGAGGAGAGUGGAAUUCCAUGUGUAGCGGUGAAAUGCGUAGAUAUAUGGGGGAACACCAGUGGCGAAGGCGACUCUCUGGUCUGUAACUGACGCUGAGGCUCGAAAGCGUGGGGAGCGAACAGG